GACGAACGCUGGCGGCGUGCUUAACACAUGCAAGUCGAACGGAAAGGCCCCCUUGUGGGGUACUCGAGUGGCGAACGGGUGAGUAACACGUGAGUAACCUACCCUUGACUUUGGGAUAACUUCAGGAAACUGGGGCUAAUACCGGAUAGGAGCUCCUGCUGCAUGGUGGGGGUUGGAAAGUUUCGGCGGUUGGGGAUGGACUCGCGGCUUAUCAGCUUGUUGGUGGGGUAGUGGCUCACCAAGGCUUUGACGGGUAGCCGGCCUGAGAGGGUGACCGGCUACAUUGGGACUGAGAUACGGCCCAGACUCCUACGGGAGGCAGCAGUGGGGAAUAUUGCACAAUGGGCGGAAGCCUGAUGCAGCAACGCCGCGUGCGGGAUGACGGCCUUCGGGUUGUAAACCGCUUUCGCCUGUGACGAAGCGUGAGUGACGGUAAUGGGUAAAGAAGCACCGGCUAACUACGUG
rnacentral:rRNA from 1 species